GAAAAAAAUUAUUUACCUUACAUACUUCUCUCUUCUUUAUUUUCUCUCCCUUCUCUCUAGAAUCUUCUGAUCUCAGAUCGUAGACUUUGUUCAUCGGCUCCGGUGGCUCUCUUAGCACCGGAGCCGGUAUCUUUUUCUUAUGUCCUUUUCGUUUAGUUUGUUUGUGAUGUAAGGGGAUUUUGUUUCGACGCAAAAUCAUUCGGUGAUGCUUUAUUGAUGCUGUCAAAAUUCUUUUGGCUGUGAUUUAGUCUGGUUAAGCGGCUAGAGGUUCUGGAUCUUAUGGAUCAUUGGAGUGGCUUGUCCUUUUGCCUCUCUUGUCGUCUCAAUCUAGUUCUAGAUCUGUGGUUCAACUCAGUUUUCCCUUGCAUGCUCACCGUUUGAUCUCAGAUUUAACAAUGAUGUCUUUAUGGUGAUUGUUUCUAAUCUUGAUCUGCAUGGCCUUGUUCUCCGUGGCUUCUUUGGAUCUUGCCGGAUUCGAUCCUUCCUACUCUUGUUCGCAUGAGAUUGGUUUGUUCGGUCAAGAUCGUAACCGCUCCUUGUCAUUUCCCAUGAGAUCUGGUCGUGAUCUCGCUUCUUUGACUCGCUUCUCAUUAGGCGCUCCACCGUCGCUCUCUGUCGACUUCGCCGUUCGGAAGUUGGAUCUCGAACCGUUAUCGGUUCUUUCCUUCCGGUUUGGAAGCCGUGCUUGAUUAUUCUACGCUUAUUCACUAUAGGUGGGUUAAGUUAUCAACACAGUUUUGGUAACUCUUGUCAGAGGCCUGGAGGAGUAAGGUUGAUUUAUGCGAUUGGGUUUGAACUUCAUCAUUUGGACUGCAUCUGUCUCGUUUAUAUUUGUUACGUCGUUUCAUUCCCCUGUGUUUAGUUUUACUUGUCUUAUGUUUCUAUCUUGUUUCCCUUUGAUAGGGCUUACUUUCCAGAAGCACUCAGUUGCUUGCUGGCCUAGUUUCCAGAAGUACUCGUUGCUUGCUGGCUUUGUAUCUUACAACCGCAUUCCACCAUGUAUCUCAUCUUAAUAAUAUAAUUUUAGUGUUUAAAAAAAAAAUGAAAAAAAUUAUUUAAAUCAAGUCAAAUAUUGAUGCUUUGAUUGGAAGUAAAAAAAGAGUUAAUUAGCUCAGUAUACACAAAUCUAAAAUGCUGGUAAGAGAUAAGAAUCUAUUGAGUGAACAAAUUAAAUAAAUAUCUAUUUACCCUCCUGUACCUCAGUUUUUAACUGUUUUUAAGUUUUGAAAAACUCUCAAGACACUAGUUUUUAUUUUUAUUGGCUUAUACAUUUUCGCAUUUUAAAAUCUACUUAUAUAAUUCAAAUAUACUGUAUAUUUUUUUGUUGGUAAAGUAUUUAUAAGAUUUUUCUUAUCAAUAAUGAUGUUCUAAAAAACUGACGAAAGUACAAACCAAACACUAGUUUUGCAUGUUAUCACUUAUCAGGUUAGUUGUAGACUUCAAACACAAACUAUAAUAUACGGAAAGUGGAUUUAAUUAAAUUAAUACAUUAAUUAAUCUCACUAAACCAAGUUAAAAAGUCCAUCACACUCUUCCUUCCCCCGCGCUGUGUGUGUGUGAGUGUGCCUCUCUCUCCCCCACCACUCCAUUAUCUCUUUCUCUCUCACAGAGAGAAGACAAUGCCUUCUUCCGGAGAUCCCUCGACAACAAUCGGCCAACACAUCAGACACCAACCCAUGAACCUCCCACCAUUUCCCACCUCCGACGAGCCUCUAAUCCCCAAACCCAGCCGCAUCUGUAAAUCCGCCAUGUCUACCUUCUUCCUCUUACCUUCAUCGUCCAACGAACCCAACAACAGAAGAAAGGGGAAGAAACAGACGACGUCGUCCUUUCGCAGCCUCGGCUGCACCUCCUCCGCCUCUCAGCAGGUUUCCGUCCCCGCCGUGAUCCGCUCCUCCGCGAACUGGGACGCGAGUGAUGUCAAAAGCAAGAAGACGAAGAGCAAGAAGAAGAACAAUGGUUGUAGUGGCUACAGUGGCGGUGGCUCGGUUAAGAUCUUGAGCGAGGCUGAACGAAGCGGUUGCGGUCCGGUUCCUGAUGUUUGGUGCGGACCCGGUGUCGGGUUUUCCACCGAUGCGGUGGUCUCCGGCACCGUCGAAGCGGAGCCUCCGAGUAGGAAUAUUCCGGCGAGACGCAAAAUCGAUGGAGAGGUUCCUUCUGUUAUUACAAAGCUUUCUGUCUUUUUAUUACACAAGUCUUGUCUUAAAACUCAAAACUGUUACAUUAUUUGCAGGGCUCUUCUGUUCCUCCCCGGCGAUCUCAUAAUCAAGAAACUAGUCUUUACUUUGACUCUGAUUUGACAUCGAGGGAUGAACAGAUGCAGACGCUUUUCUCUGAUAGAUACCAUCGUCAUCUACGACAACCUUACCCUAAUGGACUCGACGAGGUAGAGAGUGUGUUCUUGACUAUGUUUCACUUCAGGUCUUAGCGAUCUUUGUGUUUGUGUGCAUUGUUUUCAUUUAGUUGUUUUGUUUGUAGAUGAUGAUGAUACAUAAUGGUUUUGUAAUGGGAGAGAUGUUAGGCUCUCACGAUCACUUCCGUGACUUGAGGCUCAACGUCGAUGGCAUGUCUUACGAGGUAAUGUUCCUUUCUUACAAGGAGAAUUUUUAACUCUUAUGUUUGUUUUUAAAAAAGUUUUGUGUGUUGUUCUGUUGUAUUAAAAAACAGCAACUUUUGGAGCUUGGUGAUAGAAUUGGGUAUGUGGACACUGGACUUAAUGAAAAACAGAUCAAAACCUGUCUCUGGAGAGUCAAACCAUCUCACAAAGCUACACCACUUGAAGAUAGAAAGUGCAGCAUUUGUCAAGUAAGUCCCUUAUGUGCUUUCAUUGUUCAGAUAUUCACUCUCCUUUGUAAACAACCCACGUUCUUGUGUUUGUUUGCCGACAGGAAGAGUAUGAGGGUAAAGACGAGGUAGGGAAGUUAAGAUGUGGGCACAGGUACCAUAUCCACUGUGCGAAACAAUGGCUGUUAAGGAAGAACUCUUGUCCCGUCUGUAAAACUAUGCCAUUUGCUUAAAAAGUCUUAGUUAGAUAGAUAUAUCUCCUCUCCUUUGACGAUGUUUUGCUAUUUUAUGUCUGAAAACAAAACUGGUUGAUGAAAGAUUUGUAAGGAACAGCAAUUGUUAUUACUUACCUAUGGAAGAAGUCACAGAGAGACAUUGUGAACCCCACAUUGCUUGUUGGUUAGAUCAAUCUUUUUGGUUGGUGAUUAUUAGGUCGGCAACUACUAAAAAGUGUUGGGUAGAUCUAACAUUGUUAAAUCACAUGAAAAUGAUGAAACUGUUACGUGCAAGUAACAUCUAGAGGUUAUCUACAUAAAUAAUGUGGCCAAUUCAAUGAUGUUACUGUACUAAUAAAGUCAUCAAUAUCACCACACAUUGUCUGUUUCAAAACACAUUCUGUAAUCUGUAGACUAUAGCACACUUACACUUCUUACUUAGCUUUUACUCGCGGGCUGUAAGGUCGAAAGAGGUGUUGAGCUAUAAGAAACUAAGCCAAAACUCUUAAGACGGAGACGAGAGUUUAUAGUUUCUCACAACAUAAGAAUGUACUUACUUACCUUCUGAUGCUGGCAAUAGAAUGAUGUGUUUAGCGACAUCUGAUGCAAGCGCCAGGCUUGGCAGUUGUAAGCGCCUCCGUUCGCUUCCAUUUGGAACCAACUCAAUGAGGCAAUGAGAGAAGGAAGAAGAUGAAGUUUGAGAUUGUUUUCUACUAUUGUGGGGUUUCAGCUGACCUAGAAUAUCUUCCAUUGUAGCUUGAACAGUGAUUGAAUCUAGCGGUUCCUCUGUUAUUACCUUGAGCCAACGAUGUGUCGUCGCAGAUUGCAAGAGGAUGAUUGAUUCAGGUCUACUGAGAGAGACAGCAAACGGAGCAUGAGGAAGGAGUGAGAGCCGAGAGGAAAGGAUAGCCAUGGUAGAUCAAGACAAGAUGCUCACUUACGUACAUUUUGGUUAGAAAACGAUGAUGCUUACGGAAUAAAAAAUGAACUAGAUUAAGACCCGUGCCUUGCACGGGAUGAACAUCGUAUAUAUAAAUUAUUUUACAUAUAGUAUAUUCUUUUAUAUAUUAUAAAAUAAUAUAUAUAUAUAUAUAUAUAUUAGAGAAUGAAAAAGUCAAUAACUAUUACGUAUAUAAUUAAAUUGGUGUAAGUACGUAAAUAAAUUUUAUUAAUCCAAACAAUCAGUUUUUCUAUUUUCUAUUUUAUAUAAUUAAAUUUACACAAUAUAUACAUAGAUAAACAGUAUAUUUUUAAUAGGUAUAUAUUGUUAAAUGAUGUGUUCUACUUAUUUGUAUCUUUUAUAACAAAAACUUUAAAUCGCUGAUAACAAAUUUUCAUUGUUCAAUAUUUUUGAAAGUUUUAGUAAUCUAUAAUUAGUUUUUAUAAACAUUCAAUGCAAAUUUUAAAAUUUAAAUAUUAAGUUGUUUGUAUUAGUUCAGAGAUUUUAUCCAAAAAAAAAUUGUUCAAAGUAAAUUUCAAAAUUAAAUUAUUUAUAUAUUUUCUAUGGUAUAUAAUUUAAUUAAAAGAUAUUAAUAUAUAUGAGCCUUUCUACUUACAUGCUUUUGUAGUAAUUUUUAUCUUGUCAUAAAAAUAAAUAAAUCAUGGGUCAUAAAAGUUUUAAUGUGAGAUUUUUUAAAAAGUUCAAAAUAUAACAUAUACGAAAAAAUAUAAAUUUUUAUUAUAUGGUUAAUGUGAUUGUUUAAUUUAUUUUAGUAACUUAAAGUUAAACAAAAAUAAUAGAGAAUACACUAAUUUAUAUCAAAUCUUUAUUAUUCAAAAUCAUUAAUUGUCAUAUAUACUUUAGCCUCAUUAGGCAAUUCCAUGAUUUUUAUUUAAGGAAAAAAUCGAGAACAUUAAUAAUUAAUUUAUGGUUAGUUUAAUAAAAAGUUUAUUAUAUAUUUAGAUGAACCAACUUAUUUCUCUAAGGAUUUUAAGAAUCAUUGUGGUGAUGACAUAUGUCUACCUCAAAUGUUGUAAUGUUUCUCUUUUAAUAUAUAAGGGAUGAAGAGGUUUUUCGGUCCGUAUAGUCAAAGUAUGUCGUUAAAAAGUCAAACUUCUUUGUUCUGUUUUGUUGCCACGAGGGAAAUAUUGUUACUAUAAAAGCAAAACAAAACUAAAUUGAAAAAAAAAAGAAAAACAGAACAGAAGAGAAGAGAGGAGAAAACGCAAUUGGUUACGAAUAUUUUUAAAAAAGAAAAAAAAAAACAAAUAUGGCCUUUGGGUUUUUGCCACAAAACACUUGAGGAUUUGUUGCCCCCUUCCUUCCCAAUUUUGCAGCCAUUUUUUACUCUUCCACCUUAACAGGGACUUGCAAUUUCUAAAGGUUUCAUCUUUUCUUCGAAAACACUCGCGUAUAUGAGCGGGGGCGAUCUCCCUAUCUCCGUCACAGACAUCAGGUAAGGGAACAUUGGAUUCACUUUCAUUGAUUUGCUUUAAGAUUUAGGGUUUAUGCUCCUUUCUUAUAUUGGAAGGUGAAAAAGUUUCGAACUUUCAAUACGCCCAGAUCGAUUUUUCUCACCAAAAGUGGACCCUUUGAUCUUAAAGGUUGUUUCUUUAUUGAUUUGCUAGGAUGGAGAAUGAGCCUGAUGACUUAGCUGUAGCGGAGAUUGACGUGAGCGAUGAAGAGAUUGAUGCGGAAGACCUUGAGAGACGGAUGUGGAAGGAUCGCGUCAGGCUCAAAAGAAUCAAAGAACGAACUAAAAUCGUUUCGUCUCAAACGAAGGAGACGCCUAAGAAGGUCUCUGAACAAGCGCAGAGGAAGAAAAUGUCUAGAGCUCAAGACGGUAUACUCAAGUACAUGUUGAAGCUCAUGGAAGUCUGCAAAGUCCGCGGCUUUGUCUACGGUAUCAUACCCGAGAAGGGGAAGCCUGUGAGCGGCUCCUCUGACAAUAUAAGAGCUUGGUGGAAAGAGAAGGUCAAGUUUGAUAAGAACGGUCCUGCUGCGAUUGCUAAGUAUGAAGAGGAGUGUUUAGCCUUUGGGAAGUCAGAUGGAGAUAGAAACUCGCAGUUUGUGUUACAAGACUUGCAAGAUGCUACUUUAGGGUCUUUGUUGUCUUCUUUGAUGCAGCAUUGUGAUCCUCCGCAGAGGAAGUAUCCUUUGGAGAAAGGGAUGCCUCCUCCUUGGUGGCCAAGUGGGGAUGAAGAGUGGUGGGUGAAGCUUGGGAUGGCUAAAGGACAGAGUCCUCCUUACAAGAAGCCGCAUGAUCUCAAGAAGAUGUGGAAAGUUGGGGUUUUGACGGCUGUGAUUAAGCAUAUGUCGCCUGAUAUUGCGAAGAUCAAGAGGCAUGUUCGCCAGUCUAAGUGUUUGCAGGACAAGAUGACGGCGAAAGAGAGCGUGAUUUGGUUGGCGGUUUUGAACCAGGAGGAGUCUCUUACCCCGCAGCCUAGCAGUGACAAUGGAGCUUCUAAUGUAACCGAGACGCACCGGAGAGGUAAUAACGCUGAGAGGAGGAGAAAGACAGUGAUCAAUAGUGACAGUGACUAUGAUGUUGAUGGGAGGGAAGAGGCUUCAGGUUCAGUUUCUUCUAAAGACAAUAGAAGAAAACAAACUCAAAAAGAACAACCAACAGCCACUUCACAGCCAGUAAGAGAUCAAGAUAAAGCGGAGAAACACCGGAGAAGGAAAAGACCUAGAAGAACUGUCAAUGGACAAGAGGAAGAACAGCCAGAAACUGAACAAAGAAUUGUAUUACCUGAUAUGAAUCAUGUUGAUGCUCCUCUGCUAGAAUAUAACAUCAACGGUACUACUCAUCACCAAGAGGAAGGUGUUUUAGGACCAGAGGAGAACAGUCUGGAGUUGGUGAUCCCUGAGUUUAAUAACAACUAUACUUAUCUUCCUCCUGUCAAUGGACAAGCUAUGAUACCUGUAGAGGAAAGGUCAAUGCUUUACGGACCAAACACUAACCAGGAGUUGCAGUUUGGGUCAGGUUACAACUUUUAUAAUCCCUCUGCAGUGUUUGUGCACAAUCAGGAAGAAGACCUUAUCCAUACACAGAUAGAAAUGAACCCACAAGCACCGCCUCAUAACAAUGGAUUCGAGGCUCCAGGAGGAGUACUUCAACCCCAUAAUUUACUUGGGAAUGAAGACAGCGUCACAGGAAGAGAUUUGCCGCCUCAGUUUCAGAGCGAUCAAGAUAAACUCUUGGACAGUAACACUCUAUCUCCAUUCAGUGACUUGGCGUUUGAUAGCAACACCUUUUUCUCUGGGUUUGAUUCCUAUGGUGUUGAUGAUCACUUGUCAUGGUUUGGAGCUUAGUCUCUUAACAUUUUUUUGUUGGGAGGUUACAUGGUAAGUUUGUGUCACAUAUCUUAUAUAUUGUACUCUUAGUUUAUUAUCAGUUUUCAUGAAUUGUCUUAAAUAUUUCUUUUACUGGGUAUGUUGCAGGUUCAAAGGAACAUGGCAAUAGUCUGACUUGUACAGUUACAUUCUCUACUGCUGAUCUUAGGAUUUGUUAAGAGAAACAAUUGUUUUCCUUUUGAAUAAUUUGCCAGACACUUCUGCUUGAAAGCAGUGAGUGUGUCUUUUGUAAAUUAGCCCUGUGAAUAAUUCAUAAAGUUAAUAGAAUGAUGAUCUUUUUGUCUGUUCAAGUUUCAUCUUCAUAUCUUCAUGUACUAUCUGAGUUUGAAUCUCUCUGUGUUUUUUGAAGGGUAAGUAUGAACUUGAUGAUGAGGUCUUUGACCUUAACCUUCACAUGCUUUGCAAAGAUGGUUGAUAGAAAACUUGUCCACCGAAGCUUUGUUAUUAACUUCCAUGUAUCACAACUGAUAAGAAUGCUCUUCGACUCACGCUAGAGUCAAUGCCAUCAUCUCAUCGCUCUCAGUUGGAUUUUACCUCGAUACCUUGAGAUAUAUAUACUGACUGGAUCUGAGAAACUCUUUGUUCCGAGUGAAGGCUUCUCUCCUCUCGGAUAUUCCAUGGAGAUUGUCAUCACCUUUAAACUGAGGCAAGUCCGAAUUAGAAUCAGUUCCAGAACAUCUCUGUCUCUUUCUCUUAUCAUGAGCUUUGAUGUUACAUUUGAUAAGGUAGGCAAAUUAUUUUGUGACCAAUCUUUUUACUGUGGGACGGUGUAUCACGACCAGGUGCCUUAACCGUCUACCUCUUACCACUCACAUGGACGCUCCUCCAACCACUAUGCUUUUAAAUUUGACAAGCCUAAGUUUUCAGUGUCCCCUCUAAGUCCUUCCAAUUCUAUGAGCAAAGUCUAUUUUAUAUUUUUGGUCUAAUAUUCUUGUUACUCUCAAACGAGCAACAAGUUGAUAUGGCCGAGUUGGUCUAAGGCGCAGGAUUAAGGUUCCUGUCCGAAAGGGCGUGGGUUCAAAUCCCACUGUCAACAAAUUCUUUUUUUGGGUGUGUUUUUAAUACGCUGACAUGUGACAGUGUGGCUACUGGCUCCGCCCGUUAAUUUCAUUAGUUGUCUUUUUUUCUUUUGUUUUUAUUGCUGUCCCUUUGGAAGGUACUGAGUCUAGUGACUAGUGAGCAAUAAUAUUGUUGCCUGAAGACAAUAUCUAUGCUCUUUUUUCUGAAAAAAGAACAAGUAAAUAUCUAUGCUGAGGUUGUGGCGCUGAGAUUAAAUGUAACGGAAGGACCAUUAAGUUUGUUAUUCACACACUUCCAAUAUACAUCUAACGGAACAGAAGAGAUACAUUGGAAGGUCGAGAACAAACAACAAUUCGAUAUCUAUUAGUCUCACAAUUGUCUAAUGGAUCUUCUGAAAAUAUUUUUGUUUAUUCAAGUAUAGGUAAUUCACAUUUGCUUAUUUUGGUUCAACAUGGUUGAUGUUAGUGUCAAAUAGAUGGUUCAUGGAAACAUUUGAUCAUAUUUUCAGGAUAAUAUUCAAUGAUUCAACAAACAUGAGGGAGUAAAACGUUUAGAAAUGGAGGCAGGCUAUAAAUGUAAAUGUAAUUUCCACUAUUUUAUGUGCAUUACAGUCAUUUUUUUGAGUUAUGGAAUUUUGAUUGUAUAUAAAUUCUUUUUUUUUUGCAGUUUGGAACCAUACCGAAAUAUAACUAUUUUAUGAAUUUAUUAUAAUAUAAAUUAAUUUUUCAUUAAUGUACAUUUUUGGUAAUAACCUGCAAAGCUUCUAAUUGUAAUAACCAACUAGGAUAAGACCCGCGCCUUACGCGGAAUUAAGUUAUUAUUUUAUUAUAUUUUGGAGAAUGAAACAAUAGUUUGGUUUCAUUUGGAUUAGGGGUGUUCAAUCCAGAUAUCGGGUUGGUUUUGGUUCGGUUCGGUUUUUUUCGGUAUUUCGGUUAGUAAAAUAUAACUACUAUUCUAAAUCCAUAUUUGCUUUGACUUUAGUCUUCCACAUAUUUUUGAAAGAUUUCAGCUGGACGGCUAAAUUGAUCAGCCAAUCUUGUUGCUUUAAAUCAUUAGUAUUUAUAUAUAUAUAUUAUUUAGUUUGAAUAUUUAUUAAAUAAAAAUUCAUAUGUGUUAUAUUUUUAUGAUCAUUAAUCAUGUGUAUCUUCUUAUAAUAUUAAAUAAAAGUUCAUAUUAAUACAAUUUUAUGAUCAUUUGUAACUUAUUAUGACAAAAAAAUAAUCUAUUGAUCACAAAAUUUUCAGAGUGGGAUCUUCAAAUUUCUAAUAAUUUAUAGACGUUUUGAAAAAUUUAAAAGAUAACAUAUAAGAAAAAAUGUAAAUGUUUUUAUUAUAUAUUUAAUGUGAUUUUUGUAAUGUAUCAUAACUUCAUGAAGAUUUAAAUAAAUACUUUCAAAGUUAGAGAUCUUUUUAGAAUUAGUGACGAGAUCUACAUAUAGAUAGGGCUACAAAUUUUACAUUACUUCCACUUUACAAAUAAUGUUUUAGAAUUAUGAUUUUGUCACGUUGGAUUUUUUUAUAGAAAAAAAAUGCUUAGCAAGAUCUUUUAUAUCUUUUUGAAGCUUCUCAUGUACUAAUACAGUAGAAUAUGUAGUGUAGUAAACCAUAGUAACAACAGAUAUAAUAUAAACUUUAUUUAUUUGUGUGAGGAAAUAUUAAACGGAAAAUCUUCUAUAAAACAUAUAAAAGUUCAUCGUAAGAGUAUUUUAUAACUUGUUUUAGUGAUGGAAACAGGUAAGACAAGAAGUAGAAUAUGGAAUAAGUAAAAGACUUCGAUCAUUAUCUCGGUCACCGUCGUUUUGUGUUGAAGCUCGGGAGAGUAUUGCUCCGACAUUAAAGCUAAUGUUUGCAAAGAAUCUAAAGAAACCAAUAUUCACGGGAAGUAAAAUCAUUGACGAGGACAACAAUCCACUUCAGAUCAUCCUUGUUGAUGACUCAAACAAUGAUCAUUCCAUCGCUCCGGUGAAUCUCGACCGUCGUCCGAUCAGACUAGACAUCGUUGCCCUUCAUGGAGAUUUUCCUUCGGGUGAUAAGUGGAGUAGUGAUGAGUUUGAUCGUAACAUCGUCAAAGAAAGGGAUGGUAAAAGGCCGUUACUUGCUGGAGAAGUAACUUUGACCAUGAGAAACGGCGUUGGAACUAUUGGAGAUAUUGAGUUUACAGAUAACUCUAGUUGGAUUCGUAGCCGAAAGUUUAAAAUAGGCGUGAGAGUUGCGAAAGGGAGUAGCGAUCAAGGCGUUGCGGUUUGUGAAGCGAUGACCGAAGCAUUUAAUGUAAGAGAUCAUCGUGGAGAAUGUAAGUUCCUUUUCCUGAUCUUUGCUAUAAGUUACCCUAACUAGUCAUUAUUAACAAAGAUAAUUGUGCAUAUACUUUGGCUUUUAUAGAUUCAUUGAUUAAAAGCACUCCACUAGACAUGUGAUCGUAACAUAUCAUCACAAGAAACAUGUUUCCAUUAUCUUUGACCUAACCAUAUAUGAUUACACUAUCAAUCACACACCCUUAAUAUAUAGUUCUAUGCAACAUAUGUGCAAUAGAAAUACAUCAAAGUGAUAUUUUUUUGUCAAAACUUAUUGUAAUUGAUAUUUUAAUUUUUUUUGUCACAAACUAUUAAUAUUCAUCAAAUAAUAAACGGUACAUAUAUAGUAUUUUAUCUGUUUAAGAAUAAUCUUAGUUUUACUAACUAAAAUUUAUAUUAAGAAAUAAGUUACAUCAAAGUUGCUGUCUUUGGUCGAAUUAUUUUGAAAUCUCUAGUUGUUCUAGUCAUGAUGUCUUUUCUUUACAAAUAGUCUGAUUGUUUUGUCUCCACACAAACUAACAUUAAAAUUUUCAAUUUGUGUGCCAUUGACAAAUUGAACUUAUUUGCGGUGUGGACCAAAAGCAAACAAGUGUCAACUUUAUAUAAAUGCAACAAGUCUUAGUCAAUGCUUACAUAUAUUAUGGUUAUGAACCAUUGCUUAUAUUAAAUUACUAAUACAUCGUGAAAUCAUAUUUCCCGAAGCAUAAGCAGAUAUAUAAGGAAUAAAGUACAUACAUAGCGACAAUCAAAUAAUACAAGUUUAAAUCAAUUGUAUUAAUAGUUUUUGUUUUGUACUACUUGGGGUUGGUGAAGUGUACAAGAAACAUCAUCCACCCAUGUUAGAAGACGACGUGUGGCGACUAGAGAAGAUAGGCAAAGAUGGGGCCUUUCACAAGAAGCUCUCUGCUGAAAACAUCAACACUGUUCAAGACUUUUUGAAGUUAUCCGUCGUUGACCUCGACAGACUCCGUCAAGUAAAGCUAUUAAUAAUUUAAUUUGUCUUUAUUAUCUAUAUACCUAUCAUGUUUUUGUGAGAAAUUUGAUUGUCUGACUAAUAAGGGUUUGUUUGUUUGGUUACAGAUUUUGGGCCAAGGAAUGUCUGAUAAAAUGUGGGAUGUCACAUAUAAACAUGCUCGAGAGUGUACAUUAGGAAAUAAGUUAUACAUUCACAGAGGACCUAACAUUUUGUUGACCUUGAAUCCAAUAUGCGAAGUGAUGGAAGCAGCGAUCAACGGUCAGGUGUUUUCCAAUGAAGAAGCGCUGAAUCAGGUAUAUAUCUUUCUACUUUGAAUUAGAAAUCAUCUUUUGAAAAAAAAAUGUGUUUUUAUUUCGUUAAUGGUAACAUUUGGUUGCAGCUCAAUAUUAAGAAGCUAGCUCGACAAGCUUACUCAAAGUGGGAUUUCUUAGAAGUGAUUGAAAGAAAAACGAACGAGGUUCCUCUUUUGACACAAGGUAAUUUGAAAUACAGUUGUUAGUACAACUAUUUUUAAAGGUGGUCAUAGUAAGUUAUAAUACAAUUUUGGUCAUAUAGGUCAUACUAUGGACCAGCAAUAUGGUGCAAACCACUACCACACCAUUGAAAUCAACAAAUCGUAUCAACAAAACGGAUAUGCUCUAGAGAGAUCUCCUAACAAUUUGGAGAUGAUAAACGAAGGGUAUAUUACGACCACUCCAAUGGAAUUCGGUGUAUGUUUCAACGUUACCGGAUCUUCGUCCCAAAGUCAUAUGAACCCUUUCGAAAAUCCUCAUCUACGUUAGUAUUGGAACACGAAGCCUGUUGUGCCUUCACACGAUGGUUAAACUCUUUCCAAAUAAGGGUGUAAUUUAUUAUAUAUACAAUGGUGAAAACAUGGAUUAUAUAUAUAUAUGUGUUAUGUGUAUCUGUAGAUCAUUGUUGUAUAGGAAUGUGUGAAAUUUCAAAAAGAGUUAACAUUUUUAGCUGAAUGGUAUUAUAGUUGUUUACAUUUUUCAUGUUUUGACAACAUGAUGCAGUUGUUUUUUAACCAUUCAGAGUAUUAAUCAAAGUUUUACGUUUUACGUGUUUGAAAAAUAACCAUUCAGAACAAGUUAUUACUAAUUUUUUUCUCCCGCUAUUCCUUCAGUCUACUAUUCAUUCGGAUACAAUUUAUCACACCAAUCACCUAUUGAAUUUGAUUAAUGAACCAUGAGAAAUGUGUAAUAGACAACUAGUGGUGACACAAGAAAUCAAUAACAGAGGAGGGUAACUUUAUGAUUCAUGAAGGCCCCUCAAAAGCAUUGAGUGAAGAAGAUGUGUGUAGUAGUAGUAGUAGGUAGCCUUUGGGUAAGCCGUAAGUGUGUGAUAGUGUUCAUAUUUCUUUCAUAAGACUACAGCUCAAGAACACUCGAUAAGGCUAUAUAUUUCAAGAACCACUCGAUAGUUAAAACAUACAGAAAAAAAGAAAACAAUCGCAGAUGUUUUAGUAUUGAUCCAUCUUCCAAAGGAUUUGAAUUAUUAUUAUCUUAAGCUUCUGCCAAAGUUGUUGCCAGAUUCGUGCCGAAGCUCCUUGACAACAGCAGCUAGAGCCUCAGGGUUAAGACCAAGAUCACAGAGAGCUAUUAGAACAGACAAGGUAUGUCGAUCGAGACCAGUGUCCAAGAUGUUCGACAUCCGAAACACAAGCUCCAAUGACUCUCUUGCAGUUUCAGCUGCCUCUUGAUCCAUUUACUCUGGCCACAAAGAUAAAUCAAAUUUCAUUUCCAAAAUAUACGAAAAGAUUUCUACUUUUUAUAUCAUGUAACUGAACAGAUCUCAUGUCGGAGAUUAUCGACAAUCGAAUGCUCAAAAGUUAAAUUGGAUCCCUAUAGAGUCAAAGGAAACAAACCGAUUAUGCAACGGAGACGAUGAACGGCGACGAAUCUGAGAUCUCAGAGCUUGAGAGUUGAGAGAUAAAAGAGUCGAUGAAGGAGGAGACGAAGUGAAUGCGUAAACGGGCCAGAAGUUAGAUUGCUAGAUAUUUUUUUUAAAAGCCCAUUAGGCCUGGUUCGAAGAAAGUUAAAGAAAACCACUUUCGUCUAAGUUGAGUGAUCAGGACCUAGCUUAAGGCCGAUUAGUUGAAAUUAUAAGAACGUUUCUUUUGACUAAUGUAUCAUUUUCAAACAAAAUAUAAACAGAAAAAAGUAAGAUUCUAUUAUUUUAUUUCGUGUUAGAUUGUUCUUGUGAAUCACGACUAAAAUAAUUUGGCAACCUAAAAUAACAGUAUUAUUUGUCGUGGAGUUUUUGGGCCAUGCUCCGAGGAGAAUAAAGUUGAGAGUCUUGAGACUUUCGAACUCUGGUUUUGCACCUAACAGUCUUCCACGAUUUUUCAUUUUUUAUUUUUUAUUCAUCUAUUUUCCAUCAAAACCGGACCAAUAUUCUUUGGGUAAUUGUGUUAAUCCAAGUGGCAGGUUUUGUAUAAAGAAAUUUACAGAUUCUUUUCAGUUUUGUGGUCAGCAUAAUCAAAAACCUGUGACCCUCUAGUGCAUCCUGUCGUCUUUCUUACAUCGAAUAAAUAAAAAUUGAAAUAUAGCUCUGACAAAUAAGAAAAGUAAAAGUCAUGAGAGACCUUUUCUACAUAUACAAGCAAAGACAAUAAGAUUUCCACCUUUAUCUUCGUGGCAAAAGUGAACAUAAUGAAAAAAAUUAUUUACCUUACAUACUUCUCUCUUCUUUAUUUUCUCUCCCUUCUCUCUAGAAUCUUCUGAUCUCAGAUCGUAGACUUUGUUCAUCGGCUCCGGUGGCUCUCUUAGCACCGGAGCCGGUAUCUUUUUCUUAUGUCCUUUUCGUUUAGUUUGUUUGUGAUGUAAGGGGAUUUUGUUUCGACGCAAAAUCAUUCGGUGAUGCUUUAUUGAUGCUGUCAAAAUUCUUUUGGCUGUGAUUUAGUCUGGUUAAGCGGCUAGAGGUUCUGGAUCUUAUGGAUCAUUGGAGUGGCUUGUCCUUUUGCCUCUCUUGUCGUCUCAAUCUAGUUCUAGAUCUGUGGUUCAACUCAGUUUUCCCUUGCAUGCUCACCGUUUGAUCUCAGAUUUAACAAUGAUGUCUUUAUGGUGAUUGUUUCUAAUCUUGAUCUGCAUGGCCUUGUUCUCCGUGGCUUCUUUGGAUCUUGCCGGAUUCGAUCCUUCCUACUCUUGUUCGCAUGAGAUUGGUUUGUUCGGUCAAGAUCGUAACCGCUCCUUGUCAUUUCCCAUGAGAUCUGGUCGUGAUCUCGCUUCUUUGACUCGCUUCUCAUUAGGCGCUCCACCGUCGCUCUCUGUCGACUUCGCCGUUCGGAAGUUGGAUCUCGAACCGUUAUCGGUUCUUUCCUUCCGGUUUGGAAGCCGUGCUUGAUUAUUCUACGCUUAUUCACUAUAGGUGGGUUAAGUUAUCAACACAGUUUUGGUAACUCUUGUCAGAGGCCUGGAGGAGUAAGGUUGAUUUAUGCGAUUGGGUUUGAACUUCAUCAUUUGGACUGCAUCUGUCUCGUUUAUAUUUGUUACGUCGUUUCAUUCCCCUGUGUUUAGUUUUACUUGUCUUAUGUUUCUAUCUUGUUUCCCUUUGAUAGGGCUUACUUUCCAGAAGCACUCAGUUGCUUGCUGGCCUAGUUUCCAGAAGUACUCGUUGCUUGCUGGCUUUGUAUCUUACAACCGCAUUCCACCAUGUAUCUCAUCUUAAUAAUAUAAUUUUAGUGUUUAAAAAAAAAAUGAAAAAAAUUAUUUAAAUCAAGUCAAAUAUUGAUGCUUUGAUUGGAAGUAAAAAAAGAGUUAAUUAGCUC
rnacentral:lncRNA from 1 species